AGUCCACGCUGUAAACGAUGUCGAUUUGGAGGUUGUGCCCUUGAGGCGUGGCUUCCGGAGCUAACGCGUUAAAUCGACCGCCUGGGGAGUACGGCCGCAAGGUUAAAACUCAAAUGAAUUGACGGGGGCCCGCACAAGCGGUGGAGCAUGUGGUUUAAUUCGAUGCAACGCGAAGAACCUUACCUACUCUUGACAUCCAGAGAACUUUCCAGAGAUGGAUUGGUGCCUUCGGGAACUCUGAGACAGGUGCUGCAUGGCUGUCGUCAGCUCGUGUUGUGAAAUGUUGGGUUAAGUCCCGCAACGAGCGCAACCCUUAUCCUUUGUUGCCAGCGGUUCGGCCGGGAACUCAAAGGAGACUGCCAGUGAUAAACUGGAGGAAGGUGGGGAUGACGUCAAGUCAUCAUGGCCCUUACGAGUAGGGCUACACACGUGCUACAAUGGCAUAUACAAAGAGAAGCGACCUCGCGAGAGCGAGCGGACCUCAUAAAGUAUGUCGUAGUCCGGAUUGGAGUCUGCAACUCGACUCCAUGAAGUCGGAAUCGCUAGUAAUCGUAGAUCAGAAUGCUACGGUGAAUACGUUCCCGGGCCUUGUACACACCGCCCGUCACACCAUGGGAGUGGGUUGCAAAAGAAGUAGGUAGCUUAACCUUCGGGAGGGCGCUUACCACUUUGUGAUUCAUGACUGGGGGUGAAGUCGUAACAAGGUACCAAGGGCGAA
rnacentral:rRNA from 1 species